rnacentral:rRNA from 1 species
UGGGGAAUCUUGGACAAUGGGCGCAAGCCUGAUCCAGCCAUGCCGCGUGAGUGAAGAAGGCCUUCGGGUUGUAAAGCUCUUUUUACCAGGGACGAUAAUGACGGUACCUGGAGAAUAAGCCCCGGCAAACUUCGUGCCAGCAGCCGCGGUAAUACGAAGGGGGCUAGCGUUGUUCGGAAUUACUGGGCGUAAAGCGCACGUAGGCGGAUUGUUAAGUCAGAGGUGAAAUCCCGGAGCUCAACUUCGGAACUGCCUUUGAUACUGGCAAUCUCGAGUCCGGAAGAGGUUAGUGGAAUUCCCAGUGUAGAGGUGAAAUUCGUAGAUAUUGGGAAGAACACCAGUGGCGAAGGCGGCUAACUGGUCCGGUACUGACGCUGAGGUGCGAAAGCGUGGGGAGCAAACAGGAUUAGAUACCCCCGUAGUCCCUGAGCGGGCUGGCAAGGCGCAU